rnacentral:rRNA from 1 species
CGGGACACGUGGUAUCCUGUCUGAAUAUGGGGGGACCAUCCUCCAAGGCUAAAUACUCCUGACUGACCGAUAGUGAACCAGUACCGUGAGGGAAAGGCGAAAAGAACCCCGGCGAGGGGAGUGAAAAAGAACCUGAAACCGUGUACGUACAAGCAGUGGGAGCACAGAGCAAUCUGUGUGACUGCGUACCUUUUGUAUAAUGGGUCAGCGACUUAUAUUCUGUAGCAAGGUUAACCGAAUAGGGGAGCCGAAGGGAAACCGAGUCUUAACUGGGCGUUAAGUUGCAGGGUAUAGACCCGAAACCCGGUGAUCUAGCCAUGGGCAGGUUGAAGGUUGGGUAACACUAACUGGAGGACCGAACCGACUAAUGUUGAAAAAUUAGCGGAUGACUUGUGGCUGGGGGUGAAAGGCCAAUCAAACCGGGAGAUAGCUGGUUCUCCCCGAAAGCUAUUUAGGUAGCGCCUCGUGAAUUCAUCUCCGGGGGUAGAGCACUGUUUCGGCAAGGGGGUCAUCCCGACUUACCAACCCGAUGCAAACUGCGAAUACCGGAGAAUGUUAUCACGGGAGACACACGGCGGGUGCUAACGUCCGUCGUGAAGAGGGAAACAACCCAGACCGCCAGCUAAGGUCCCAAAGUCAUGGUUAAGUGGGAAACGAUGUGGGAAGGCCCAGACAGCCAGGAUGUUGGCUUAGAAGCAGCCAUCAUUUAAAGAAAGCGUAAUAGCUCACUGGUCGAGUCGGCCUGCGCGGAAGAUGUAACGGGGCUAAACCAUGCACCGAAGCUGCGGCAGCGACACUGUGUGUUGUUGGGUAGGGGAGCGUUCUGUAAGCCUGUGAAGGUGUACUGUGAGG